UCAUAUACAAUAAUAUCGCUUUUUCAUUUUCGAUUAUUUACUUUUAUAGAUACAAUUAAACGGCACUUUUCUUUCAUAGUGCAGUAAAUAUGAUUAAUUAUAUUCCUGGAUUUGUAUAUGUACAUAAACAUUGCUUAUUGAAUAUAAUUAACUGUGUCAAUUAUAUUCCUUAGAAUAAUCGAAUCCAUGAUGUUCUUGUCAGUUAUAUUUUUCGUAUUUAUUUUAUUCGCUUUUUCUUUCUCCAAAGCUAAAACAUAUUGAUUUCAUAUUUAUUUUUCACGAAAGUCAAAAAGAGCAGAUCUGACUACCGUAGUGAUUUGACUACCAUAUUGGUUUGCUGCCUCGAAUGUUUUCAAAUUUCGAGAAUCGCAACUCGUCCUUUGACGUACUUCACAUCGUAGUCAGUCAAAGAACGCGCCAUAGUAAUUGCAGAGUUUUAUUCGUAUCGCUCCGCAUUUAUCGCGUAAUUUUCGCCACUUGAAAAGAUCUACGCACGAAAUAUCAUUGCAAAUGUGUCUCGUGAAAACUUUGGUAUUCGUUCUGAUAUGUUAAAUGUCGCGUACCAUCGUAAUUGUCGUCCUAAUUUCGGUGUCGGCGAAUCGCUUCUUUAACAACCGACAUCGAUCGAAAAAGCAAUUAACAGUAUAAUAAUAAAUGUCGAUUAUUAAUUAAUGAUUAUGAUUCGUUCGAAUUAAUACUUUAAAUUCGCUGUAAUUCGCAAUUUAGACACUUAGAUUAAAGUUAUAAUACAUUGUUCUCAAAGUGUAACGAUAGCUGGAAGAGCAGAGGGAUCAUCUACUAUCGUAACCCAGAUAACACACAAUAUUCUAUGAAUAUUCUAUAUAGCUUCGAAUAUACUUCUUUGAGAAUAUUCUCAAAGAAAUUAUCCAUACACAUUUGUAGAAUAUCCUUAUUUAUAAAGAAUAGUCUAUAAAUCUGCCCACAACAUUUAAAAUAUCAGCAAUACGAAUAUAUCCUUUAUAUAUUCUAUAAAUGUUCACAGAAUAUUCAAACGUAUUGAAAAUGUAGAUGGCGUUCAGAAAGCACAGGAAAUACCAACUCAUAACCUAAUCUCUUUUUCGUUUCACUUUCACGUGGAGCACUGGCGAAUUACCAUACGCAAAUUGGCGACAAAUUAUUUUACGUGUUCAUAUAUAGUGUUUAUUUUGCAAGUGUUCAAGUGUCCAUGUUUGAAAUAUAUACUAUGAAGUAUCUCAUCUUUCAUCAAGAAACUAAUAAUGCCACGAGUUAAACGAAUCCUCAUUGGUUCCGUUUAACUCGCACUUCGCGGAAACAUUGGAGGAGCCGAAACGUCGUUAUGGAAUUGCUGUUGCGAGGCACGGUUUCGGUUGCACGUGAGACACGCAAAUCGUUGUUGCAGCUCAGGUUUCGCAGCUCUAUGCGGUGCAGUCACCCGGCUGAUAUAGCCACCACGAGUAUCAAGACGCAAGAGCACGUGCCGUGUGCGGAGAGGCGUCCUUGUGCGCGCAUCUUCUUAUCACGGCGCCACGCGCCUCGUCGCCGCGCUCGAUUCGAUUCUAUUUGCAAACAAUAAGCACAAUGCCGCUAUCAUGUCGCAUGAGUGGCGACGCUGCCCCAGUUUCACUUCGCCAAUAUAAUGAUCGCCGCGGAGACACCGAGCGACUCGCUCGCUCGCGCUCGCCCGCUUGCUCUGCGCGCUUCGAAUGCAGAAGCACACGAAGCCGCGUGUAAUGCACGACUGGGUGGCGUCGUCUCGCCCGUGCCCGUGUCGAUUCCGCACACUCUGAUGCAUUUGUUUAUGUCAACGACUCCGCUUAAGUGUACUGCAAGGUAGGUGAGACGUUCGAGUCAUUUCCGUAUUGCGAUGGUAUCGCAGUGUAUGCUAGUGGAAAAUAUAUGGCAAGAAUGAUAUGCCCGAGAGCCUAGGUGAACGUCUUAAUAGACUCUGCAGCAGUAAUGCAACAAAGAGAUAAAGAUAUCUAAUUGUAAGUUUUGAAAUAUGGAGCACAAGUCAUCUUAUAUUUAUGUAGAAAGUGCGCUUUAUCUUUAAUAAUUUUAUAUUAAGUUUAAGCCAGUAGGUGCGCUUUCCCUUCGAAGACUUUAUUUCUUUUAUUUGUAUUGUAUAAGUAUAUGUAUUAAACGUCGCUUUUUAUUCGU